rnacentral:sRNA from 1 species
GACAUUUUUUAAAUAGUUUGCACAUAAUUUAUAAAUUUUAUGAAACAUCAUAUAUAAUAGCUAUGAAUAGAAAAAAAAAAAAAAAAAAAAAAAAAGGGUAAAAAUAAGUUAUAUAAUAUAUGUGUGAUAUAAUACAUAUCAUAAAUAUUGAAGUAGCAUAUUAUUAUAAUUUCUUUAUCCUGUUUAUAUUAUUCUUUUCACUUUCUAAUUUUUUUUAUUGUUAUUCUUUUAUUAUUAAUAUAUUUUUGUUAUAAUGCUCUUAAAUAAAUUUAUAAAGUCCUAUUUUUUCAUAUGAUUAGAAAUUUUUAAAGAGGCAUAAAGGUUUACUACACAGUGAUUUUAUUUUGCUUCUUAUUAUAAAAAUGACUAGUAACUUAACUAUCCUAAUAAUAUUUAUAUUGAUUUAUAUAUAUAUAU